GUCGUACGGGUGCGUAACGCGUAUGCAACCUACCUAUCACUGGGGGAUAGCCCGGGGAAACCCGGAUUAAUACCGCAUAAAACAGGGGCACCGCAUGGUGAUAUUUGUUAAAGAUUUAUUGGUGAUAGAUGGGCAUGCGUUCGAUUAGCUAGUUGGCGGGGUAACGGCCCACCAAGGCGACGAUCGAUAGGGGAGCUGAGAGGUUGAUCCCCCACACGGGCACUGAGAUACGGGCCCGACUCCUACGGGAGGCAGCAGUAGGGAAUAUUGGGCAAUGGAUGCAAGUCUGACCCAGCCAUGCCGCGUGCCGGAUGAAGGCCCUCAAGGUUGUAAACGGCUUUUAUUCGGGAAGAAGAGCAGGGAUGCGUCCUUGUGUGACGGUACCGAAUGAAUAAGCACCGGCUAACUCCGUGCCAGCAGCCGCGGUAAUACGGAGGGUGCGAGCGUUGUCCGGAUUUAUUGGGUUUAAAGGGUGCGUAGGUGGCCUUAUAAGUCAGUGGUGAAAUACGGUUGCUCAACAAUCGAGGUGCCAUUGAUACUGUGAGGCUUGAAAUAAUUGGAGGCUGCCGGAAUGGAUGGUGUAGC
rnacentral:rRNA from 1 species